UACGUAGGGCGCAAGCGUUUGUCCGGAAUUAUUGGGCGUAAAGAGCUCGUAGGCGGCCUGUUACGUCUGCUGUGAAAUCCCGGGGCUUAACCCCGGGCGUGCAGUGGAUACGGGCAGGCUGGAGGCAGGCAGGGGAGAACGGAAUUCCCGGUGUAGCGGUGAAAUGCGCAGAUAUCGGGAGGAACACCGGUGGCGAAGGCGGCGACCUGGACGGACACUGACGCUGAGACGCGAAAGCGUGGGAGCAACAGG
rnacentral:rRNA from 1 species